rnacentral:rRNA from 1 species
AUUGAACGCUGGCGGCAGGCUUAACACAUGCAAGUCGAGCGGAUGAAGAGAGCUUGCUCUCUGAUUCAGCGGCGGACGGGUGAGUAAUGCCUAGGAAUCUGCCUGGUAGUGGGGGACAACGUUUCGAAAGGAACGCUAAUACCGCAUACGUCCUACGAGAGAAAGUGGGGGAUCUUCGGACCUCACGCUAUCAGAUGAGCCUAGGUACGAUUAGCUAGUUGGUGAGGUAAAGGCUCACCAAGGCGACGAUCGUUAACUGGUCUGAGAGGAUGAUCAGUCACACUGGAACUGAGACACGGUCCAGACUCCUACGGGAGGCAGCAGUGGGGAAUAUUGGACAAUGGGCGAAAGCCUGAUCCAGCCAUGCCGCGUGUGUGAAGAAGGUCUUCGGAUUGUAAAGCACUUUAAGUUGGGAGGAAGGGCAGUAAGUUAAUACCUUGCUGUUUUGACGUUACCGACAGAAUAAGCACCUGCUAACUUCGUGCCAGCAGCCGCGGUAACAC